UACGUAGGGGGCAAGCGUUGUCCGGAUUUAUUGGGCGUAAAGAGCGUGUAGGCGGCUUUACAGGUCCGUUGUGAAAACUCGAGGCUCAACCUCGAGACGCCGGUGGAAACCGUAAAGCUAGAGUCCGGAAGAGGAGAGUGGAAUUCCUGGUGUAGCGGUGAAAUGCGCAGAUAUCAGGAGGAACGCCCGUGGCGAAAGCGGCUCUCUGGGACGGUACUGACGCUGAGACGCGAAAGCGUGGGUAGCAAACAGG
rnacentral:rRNA from 1 species